AUUGAACGCUGGCGGCAGGCUUAACACAUGCAAGUCGAGCGGAGAGAGGUAGCUUGCUACUGAUCUUAGCGGCGGACGGGUGAGUAAUGCUUAGGAAUCUGCCUAUUAGUGGGGGACAACAUUUCGAAAGGAAUGCUAAUACCGCAUACGUCCUACGGGAGAAAGCAGGGGAUCUUCGGACCUUGCGCUAAUAGAUGAGCCUGAGUCGGAUUAGCUAGUUGGUGGGGUAAAGGCCUACCAAGGCGACGAUCUGUAGCGGGUCUGAGAGGAUGAGCCGCCACACUGGGACUGAGACACGGCCCAGACUCCUACGGGAGGCAGCAGUGGGGAAUAUUGGACAAUGGGCGCAAGCCUGAUCCAGCCAUGCCGCGUGUGUGAAGAAGGCCUUAUGGUUGUAAAGCACUUUAAGCGAGGAGGAGGCUACUUUAGUUAAUACCUAGAGAUAGUGGACGUUACUCGCAGAAUAAGCACCGGCUAACUCUGUGCCAGCCGCCGCAGUAACAC
rnacentral:rRNA from 1 species